CAGUCGCCGCGGUAAUACGAAGGGUGCAAGCGUUAAUCGGAAUUACUGGGCGUAAAGCGUGCGUAGGCGGUUUGUUAAGUCUGCUGUGAAAUCCCCGGGCUCAACCUGGGAAUGGCAGUGGAUACUGGCAAGCUAGAGUGUGUCAGAGGAUGGUGGAAUUCCCGGUGUAGCGGUGAAAUGCGUAGAGAUCGGGAGGAACAUCAGUGGCGAAGGCGGCCAUCUGGGACAACACUGACGCUGAGGCACGAAAGCGUGGGGAGCAAACAGGAUUAGAGACCCGUGUAGUCCCUGUCUCUUAUAC
rnacentral:rRNA from 1 species